rnacentral:lncRNA from 7 species
CCCACCAAUCUAGAACACUAAAACUCAGAAUAAUAAUAGAAGUAAUUAACUAAAUUUCUAAAUUAUGCUCCAGACCAACUUGCAUAUUGAAUCACCUAAUUAAAUUAUCACACUAGUUGAUUUAGUAAGCAAAGCAUUAUCAUCAUCAUAGAAUUCCCACAAGACUAUAAUUUUAAAAUCAAAAGACCUUAAGCACAUAUGUGCAUCUUCUAACACGGGGUUCUCCAAUUUCAACAGAAAUAACCUAUUGAUGCCACUGACUCCCAGGUCAUCUUGGGUAACAACAAUUAUUCAUCUAGGCCAUUUAAUCGAUUAACAAACAUAGAAUAUGACCACUACCAAAGCAAGACAUCCCUAUACCAAUAAAAUUGGCACAAAUGACUCUAGUUGAAUAUGUGAGCUAGUCGUUUGAAGUACCAAACCUACUUCUCACAUAACUACUUUAAUCACACCAAACAUACAAGUCUAUCAAUGCAAUUGUCACAUAAUUAGCAAUCUUAAACUUCAACACCCAUUGUGACUACUACACAAUCAUGAACAUAAUCAAAUCACAUUAGACAGAAGUAUCCACUGAGGAACUCAUCGCCUAAUUUGUAUCUUAACCUAAACUUUACCCUACACAUGAGAUACAUCCAUUUCGU